UGGGGAAUUUUGGACGAAUUGGGCGAAAGCCUGAUCCAGCAAUGCCGCGUGUGUGAAGAAGGCCUUCGGGUUGUAAAGCACUUUUGUCCGGAAAGAAAUCCUUGGCUCUAAUACAGUCGGGGGAGUGACGGUACCGGAAGAAUAAGCACCGGCUAACUACGUGCCAGCAGCCGCGGUAAUACGUAGGGUGCAAGCGUUAAUCGGAAUUACUGGGCGUAAAGCGUGCGCAGGCGGUUUGCUAAGACCGAUGUGAAAUCCCCGGGCUCAACCUGGGAACUGCAUUGGUGACUGGCAGGCUAGAGUAUGGCAGAGGGGGUGAGAAUUCCACGUGUAGCAGUGAAAUGCGUAGAGAUGUGGAGGAAUACCGAUGGCGAAGGCAGCCCCUGGCAAGUACUGACGCUCAUGCACGAAAGCGUGGGGAGCAAACGGAUUAAUCCCUGGUAGUCCACGCCCU
rnacentral:rRNA from 1 species